rnacentral:tRNA from 1 species
GUCUCUGUGGCGCAAUGGGUUUGCCCAUUCGGCUGUUAACCGAAAGGUUGUUGGUUCGAGCCCACCCAGGGACG